rnacentral:rRNA from 1 species
UACGUAGGGUGCAAGCGUUGUUCGGAAUCAUUGGGCGUAAAGCGCGUGUAGGCUGUUAGUUAAGUCAGAUGUGAAAGCCCUCGGCUCAACCGGGGAAGUGCAUUUGAAACUAACUGGCUAGAAGACGGUAGAGGAAGGUGGAAUUCCAAGUGUAGAGGUGAAAUUCGUAGAUAUUUGGAGGAAUACCUGUGGCGAAGGCGGCCUCUGGACCGAUCGUUGACGCUGAGACGCGAAAGCGUGGGUAGCAAA